GGAAGAACCUGUUUAUUCACGCCAUCCACCAGAGAAUAUGAAAAAGUGAAUGCAUAAGGGGAUUAGGAGAUAUGAUUACUGCAAACCAGUGAUGGAACUCGAUUGUGCAAGUAGAUGAUGCUUAACUGCUAAGGUGAAGUACGAGAUUUCACGCUCUUAUGAGAAAGUUGACGAGAUGCUAAACCUUAUU